rnacentral:rRNA from 1 species
AGGGCGUAUGGUGGAUGCCUAGGCUCAUUCAGGCGAUGAAGGACGUGAUAAGCUGCGAUAAGCCGCGGGUAGGUGCAAAUGACCUCUGAUCCGCGGAUUUCCGAAUGGGACAACCCGGCAGUCUGAAGGACUGUCACUCAGCAAUGGCUGAGGGCUAACCGAGGGAACUGAAACAUCUUAGUACCUCGAGGAAGAGAAAAUAAACUAAUGAUUCCCCCAGUAGUGGCGAGCGACCGGGGAAGAGCCCAAACCGGCCAUGUGGCAACGCAUGACCGGGGUUGUAGGACCGCGCCGUUGUACUCAGCGUGUGAGAAGAACGUUCUGGAAAGAACGGCCAGAGAGGGUGACAGCCCCGUAAUCGAAGCACAACGAGACAUAGCGGUAUCCUGAGUAACGCGGGACACGAGUAAUCCUGCGCGAAUCCGCCGGGCCCAUCCGGCAAGGCUAAAUACUCGAAUGAGACCGAUAGCGAACGAGUACCGUGAGGGAAAGGUGAAAAGCACCUCGACAAGAGGAGUGAAAUAGUUCCUGAAACCAUGCGCCUACAAGCGGUCGGAGCUGCCUUGUGCAGUGACGGCGUGCCUUUUGCAUAAUGAACCUACGAGUUACCAUGUCCGGCGAGGUUAAGGGGCCGAGACCCCUAGCCGCAGUGAAAGCGAGCCUGAAUAGGGCGAGUAGUCGGAGGGGGUAGACGCGAAACCAAGUGAUCUACACAUGGCCAGGUUGAAGUUCCGGUAACACGGGAUGGAGGACCGCACGGAUAAGCGUUGAAAAGCUUCCCGAUGAGCUGUGUGUAGGAGUGAAAGGCCAAUCAAACUUGGAGAUAGCUCGUACUCCCCGAAAGGCAUUUAGGUGCCGCGUGCGGCGGUCUGCAUGAGAGGUAGAGCGACCGAUAGGUCAAGAGGGCUUCACCGCCUAUCGAGACCUGACGAACUCCGAAUGCUCACGCACAGCAGCCGUGCAGUAAGGGGGCGGGUGCUAAGGUCCGUCCCCGAGAGGAGAAGAAUCCUGACCACCGUCUAAGGUCCCGGAAUUCUGUCUGAGUUAGUCUAACGAAGUCUGGUCCCCGUGACAGCUAGGAUGUUGGCUUGGAAGCAGCCAUUCAUUCAAAGAGUGCGUAACAGCUCACUAGUCGAGGGUCCGGGCGUGGAUAAUAAUCGGGUAUAAGGCAGAUACCGAAGACGUGGGAUAGUAAUGAUAAAAGUAUCGGUAGGGGAGCAUUCCAUAUGCGCUGAAUGGUGUGGGUGACCUAUCCUGGAGCGUAUGGAAAAGCAAAUGUAGGUAUAAGUAACGAUUAGGAGGGUAAGAACCCCUCCCGCCGUAAGUCUAAGGUUUCCCGGGCGAUGUCAGUCAGCCCGGGGUCAGUCGGGUCCUAAGUCUCAGCCGAACGGCGAAGGCGAUGGCCGACACGGUUAAUAUUCCGUGACUACCCUAUAUGGUGAUGUGGGGACGGAGGAGUGACACAGUCGCGGGCUGACGGAAUAGCCCGUUGAAGAGCGUAGGUGUUGAUGGCGGCAGGCAAAUCCACCGCCAGAGCUGAACCUCGAAAGUAUUCCAUUCCCUUCGGGGAAAGGAAACAGCACUGGUAAUCAUACUCCCGAGAAAAUCCGCUAAACUUAACAUACAGGGUACCCGUACCGCAAACCGACACAGGUAGACGGGUAGAACAUACUAAGGCGUUGAGAGAUUCAUGGUUAAGGAACUAGGCAAAUUGACCCUGUAACUUCGGGAUAAAGGGUCCUCACAGCAAUGUGAGGCGCAGAGAAUAGGUCCAGGCAACUGUUUAACAAAAACACAGGGCUGUGCAAACUCGAAAGAUGAGGUAUACAGCCUGACUCCUGCCCGGUGCCGGAAGGUUAAGAGGAGAUGUCAGCCUUAUGGUGAAGCAUUGAAUUGAAGCCCCGGUAAACGGCGGCCGUAACUAUAACGGUCCUAAGGUAGCGAAAUUCCUUGUCGGGUAAGUUCCGACCUGCACGAAUGGAGUAAUGAUCCGGACGCUGUCUCAACCAUGAGCUCAGUGAAAUUGUAGUAUCGGUGAAGAUGCCGAUUACCCGCGAUGGGACGAAAAGACCCCGUGAACCUUUACUACAGCUUAGCAUUGACCUUGGUCAUCCGAUGUGUAGGAUAGGCCGGAGGCUAUGAAGCGGGUGCGCCAGCAUUCGUGGAGCCAUCCUUGAAAUACGGCCCUUUGGCUGUCUGAGGUCUAACGCGCAAUAGCGCGGACACUGUUUGGUGGGUAGUUUGACUGGGGUGGUCGCCUCCAAAAGCGUAACGGAGGCUUCCAAAGGUGCCCUCGGGCCGAUUGGUAACCGGCCUUACAGAGUGCAAUGGCAUAAGGGCGCUUGACUG